AAGACAUGUGUGAUAACGUAUAAGUUGCAUGACAGUUUAGCACAAUUUGCUAGCAAAAAGGACUUCCACAUAAAUAGACACAUAAAUUCAUCCAACUAAUUUUUCAUGUCCUGUUAGUGGAAAAGGCUUCCAUGCAUUUAAUGUGUUGAAAUUUGAUGUGCUCUUCUAUUUUAUAGACACAUCCAAUUGUAGACACAUAUAUUCUAUUUUAGGGUCCAGAAAAGCAGCCCUCUUCUUCACAAUAGAAAAUUCAUGAUGUGCUCAAGGGAUUAAACAAGCAAACUAAAAAGGAUGGAAAAUGCUGAGCAAAGAAGUUAUAUGAAUUAUGAUAAUCCACCCCAUAUUA
rnacentral:misc_RNA from 1 species